rnacentral:lncRNA from 1 species
GGUCCCUCCCCUGGGUCUGCUGUUUUCCUCUGUGGAGUUAGAGGCCGCUCUGCCUCCGCUUUUGUACCCUGUCACCAGCCGGGGUGGGGACCCGGUGGAAGAACGCUGGGAAUCCGGCAGCUGGUAAUGAAUUCAGCAGUGAAGCCACUGGGACCCAGACUUUUCUUAGUUGAGCUGUGCAGUCUCCAUAAAUAUAUCACAGGGAAGAGAAUCAGGUGCCCUCCUUUACAUCCACCUAAUUCUUUGAAGCUGCCACUUUUCAACCACCAGGUGCUGAGAGGUUCCUAGGAAGGGCAACAGACCUCCAGAAGCCAAGAAAUGGUGAGUAGGGGGCCCAGUGUAGCAAGACGGAAGAGAGGCUGCUUCUCUUGGGAUUGAACUCAGGGCCUUCACAUUGAACUACAUCUCCAGCCUUUUUUUUUUUUUUUUUUUGAGAUUGAGUCUCACUGUGCUCCCCCCAAGUGAGACUAGAACUUGUGUCCUUCCUGGUUCAACUUCAGAAUGCUGGGAUUCUAGGUUCAGACACUUGACGAAAAUGUGUUUGGGUUGAAUUCUCCCAAGGCUUUACAGAGUGAUGUACUCUCAGCCGUCCAUUUUUCCAUGGUCCUGGGGUCAGCUGCUUGACACCAGCAUCCACAGCUGCCAUGUCUUUUCCUUGAUCCCUAGGAGUGAAGUAUGUGAAAGUACUUGCAUGACCAUAGAAAACCAUCACUUUUUUUUAUGUUCUAAAGAAACUUGUGGUGUUUUUGUGUGUGUUUUAAAGAAACUACUCCCCUUCUCUCCCAGGGUGGGUUGAUUACAAUCCAGACUAUAAGGGCACUUUAGAGUUAGGGUGCUAUUAUAUAUGGUCAGGUUGAUGCUUAGUGUUGGAGAUUCUUUCCCAAUUUCUAUAUAGUGCUUUGUCUGAGGCAGGAUUCAUGCCCAAGUGUGCCUUGGCUUUCCUCCUGCUUUGGUGUGCUAGUUUUCUUAGUUGCCCAGUGUCUCAUUUACUUUUGUGUUGCUGAGACAGAAUACCUGACACCCACAACUUAAAGAAGGAGAGGUUUAUUUUAGCUCACAGUUUGUAGAGGCUUCAGACCAUAGUCAGCUGGCUCCAAGGCAGGGCAACAUGGCUGAGGAGAAACAGCUCAUGAUACCACAGCAGGAAGCAGAGAGAGAUCAAGGGAGGAGAGAGAGAUAGACCCUUCCAGCCAUGACCCUCGCGACUACCUUCUCCAACUUGGCUCCACCUCCCAACAUCACAUUUAGCUAUAAACUCAUUAAUGGACUAGUCCACUGCUGAGUAUCACAUCCCCAUGAUCUACCCCUAUGAGUGUAUGAGGCUUUGGGUGACAUUGAGACAUAAACCAUAGCACCCAGUACAUUGAAGUCUGUCAUUUCACUUAUGCCUGCCUUUCAGAGGAACCUGAAACAAGAGUAGAUGUUUUUUCAAGGACACAGUGACUCUGCCCCCCCCCCCCCCAUCUCCUAUAAACAUCUGCAAUUUUUGCUGUGGGAGAUUGAACCUACCACCUCAUACAUGUUGGGUGUCCACUCUGAGAUUGAGCUAUGUGCCCAGCCCCACCACCUGUCGUUUGGUCAGUUUACAUUUGAUAUCAUUCCUGAUAUGGUUGGGUUUGUGUAAGCCUCUCUGCUACUCUUACCAAAACAAACAAGUCUUACAUCCAUAUGGAUUCUUCUGUGGAUUUUGUUUUGUGAUAAUUUGUUAUUAUUGCAAUAAUACAGUUUUAUGAUAUGCACUAGUGUACAAGUAAUGAUCAUUACUCCUAUUGAUUUCAUAAUUCAGAAGUUUCUUGGCUAAUUUUAUCUAUGUAUGUAUGUAUAUAAGAUACAGAAGUAGAUAUAAACAUAUAUUUACUCUCCCAGAUGAAUUUUUAAAUUUUUCUUUGCUUUUUCCAUAAAAAUAAAGCAUGUUCAAAUUUUAAUGGGCUAAUGUAGAGUAAUUUGAAAAAAUAAUCACCUUUGUAAUAAUGAGUUUCAUUAUCUACAAAUAUUAUAUGUGUAUUUGAGUCUUUACAUGAGUGUGACAUUCAUGUAAAAUUUAGGUGUUUUUUUAAUUGCUCUGUUAAACUAGACAUAUAAGAGUUGGAAUGUUGCUGGCCUCUAGAAGGUAACACACACCCUAUUAUUUAUUUAUUUCUUAAUGCAUCUCCUCUUCCCCUACUUCUUAAACUUUAACAGUUGAAAUUAAUGCUACUGUACCUUUAUAUGUUAUCAUGGUACACAUUUGUAGUAAUUUCUGUAUCUGUGCUGGUGUUAUGGAAAUCUCGGAAAGAAAUGUUCGAAGACACAGAACUCAGGUAAAACAAAUAAGGUUUACUUGCAAGCCUGUGGGACUGCCAGAAACUGGUCUGGUCAGAGUCCCCCUCCUCUUUUGUUAGUCUCUUCUCUUUAUACUUUUUGUUGGUCAUUGUCUCCUUCCUUGUGGUCUUUGAUGUGUAAAUACAAUUCCGGUUCCUACCUACAAGUCACAGACACAGGAUAGGCACAUAUAUACUGUAAAUUCACUUAGGCAUUUGCAACUUUCUUAGGUCAAAAUGUUAUCUAUAAUUAGAUUACUGGCUAACACCUUAAACAUUAAGAGCAAAGAGAAAAGCAAAUUUUAAAGGAAUACCUUCAUAUUCAAUCUACUAAGCUACUUAAAACUUUUGUUUUUCUAUCAAUGUGAUUUACAGAAAGCUUCAGGUCUAUGCUACUUUUGCUAGCAAGGCAUGGUAAUUGUUAUUUUAGUUUGGACAUCUGGCCCAAUUCAAGUGGGGGGUUUCGGUUAAGAAAUGCUGCAGGCAUUUCCUUAUCUAGGGAUAUUUUACAUAUCCCUUGACACUGGUGUAGGUAAAUAUUGUUUAUCUUCAGUAGCCAAGGUUUUCCCCGGAAAGAGAAUAACAACUGUAUCUUCCCUAGAGUUCAUUUGUUCCAUAUGUUCAUCAGUGCUCUUUGGUUUUGUCUAUUAGAUGUGACUUUAUAAUACAUUUCUCUUAAUUUCUAAAGAUGAUAAGAUUUUUAUGACUGUUGAAAACUUAGAUAUUUCCUACACAAAGAGACUUUUCAAGCCUUUUGCUUCCUUUGUUUUGUGACAGGGUGUGUGUCUUUACUUGUUUUAUUAAAAAUAUUUGAUCAUAUAUGAAAGGAAAUGAUGUCUCCUACUGCCCCAUUUCUAUUUGUACUCCUUAAUAACUUCAUUUAAUGGCCUUUUUUUUCAUGUAAUACAAUUUAUGAAUAUUUACUUUUUAAAUAUUGUUUUGUGUUUGAAAAAUAUUUCUUGUCCUAUUGCAGCUUUUGAAUGUUUUAUAGGUUGUUUUUAUAUUUGUUUAUCUUCUACCUCAGAAAAUUAUUAUAUAUGAAGAGCAAAGGCUACAAUUGCAUUUUUCUUUUUUUUCUUUUGUUGCCACAGAGAUACCCCAUCAUCUCAUCAGCUUUCAUUUGGAAAAGUUAUCAUUUUCCUACUUAUCUGCAGCCCAAUAUAUUACAUUCACAGUGUGUAACUGGCAGCUGUAUUUUUAAGGAUUUUGUCUUUAGUUAUGCAGAUUUCUUUACUUGUGUCAUUGCCAGGUCUAUACCAAUUAUGAUAGCAUUAUGACACAGCCAUGCUCUGCACUAUGAAACUGUGCUUCCUGUGGACUUCCUAUGCAAGAGUGGUUACAGUGUGUCAUCUUAUGUCAUCUCAUGUCAUCUCGGUGUAUAGUGGGCCGUGCACUCUAGCAGGGUGUAAGCACCUGCUGUGAUGAUGGCUCCUUUAUAGAAUCACCAGACUAUGUAUUUCUUAAGGGCAUCUCCUUGUGAAGUGAGCCAUGACCAUGCUUAUCCAUUGCCCUUGUAUAGUAUAUAAUUACCAUAUGACUUUCCUUACUGAUGUUUCAUUUCAUUACUGUUGUAGAAGGACCAAUAUUUGACAUUGCUGAUGCUCCCUGUGGUAUGUUCAUGGUCAGUGUUUUUUAAUUUUGAUCUUGGGAUUUUCUUUUCUAUACUCAUUUUUAUAAAAUUUGGCUUUUCUAACCUAUCAAGACUAUUGGUUAACUAAUGAAUGCUUAGUUUUUUAAAUUUCUACUUAAGACAGUGUGCUUCUUUUUUAACCUCAGCUUUACAUGAUUUUAUUCAUUUUUACAGGUUUGAGGUAUAAUUGACAAAUACUAAUAUGCAUUUAGUUAAAGAAACAUAUUUUAUCUUUUCACCCAUAUAUGCAUCCAUGAAAUGAGCACCACAGGAAACAGUUAACAUAUCCACUAACCAAAGUUUUUUCUAGUGCCUUUCCAUGACACUUUAAUAAAUUUGAUUUUAUUGAUCAAAAGAAAAACAGGGUAAAAAUAACAAUUACAUAGCUCCACAAAAUAUCACAAAGGGAACAUACCCUACAGUUGCUACCUAGGUUAAGAAAUGCAACAUUAUCAAAGCCCAAAAGAACAUUUUCAUGCUCUCUUGCUAUCAGUGUCCCCUCUAUCCUCCUUAGUGAUAACUAUUAUUUUUCUAAUUCAGCUGUUACUCUUAGAGAAUUCUUGUAGAAUAUCUUGGUGCAUUUCUGUUCUGCAUAGUGGUAGAAUUAAGAGUUCGCAGGAUAUGCUUGGAUAUAUUCUGCCAAACCAUUUUCCAAAUUGUAUCUGCCAGUUUACACCAGCACCAAUCAUACCUCCAAUCACUUAAUAUCUUUUUGAUUGUUGUUUUAAUUUAAAAAAAAAAAUUGUUAUUUUUAUCUUUCUGGUGAGAAUGCAACAGAAUCUGCUGGUUUUAAUUUUAACUUCUCUUAUUAGUACUAAUUUGUACAUAUGUUCAUAUAUUUAUUUGUCAUUUGUAUGUUUCAUUUUUGAAGUGCCGGUUUUAAUUUUAACUUCUCUUAUUAAUACUAAUUUGUACACAUAUUCAUAUAUGUGUCAUUUGUAUGUCUCAUUUUUGAAGUUCUUUUUGAAAUCUCUUGGCUAUUCUUUUAUUGUGUUGUGCUAUCUGGUUGUUCUUUAGAAAUAAAUAAUGCCUAAUAUAUUUUGCAUCACAAGCCCUUUACUAGAAAUGUGUGCUGCAAACAUCUUUUCCCAUUUCAUCUCCUACCUUUGUACCUUUGCACGCUAUUAAUAAUAUUAUUUGAUAAACAGAAAUUUGCAAUUCUAGUGAAAUUUUAUGUGGAUUCCUUGUACUUUUUCAUUACAGUUUGUAAUAGAUAGUUAUGGUAUUAACAUGAAUAGAAAUGUCUAGCAGAUUGGUUUAACACAGUACUGGGUGUGUUUGGAUGAGUGACUUACUGAAGAGGAAAGACCCAUCCUGGUUAUAGGUGCCCCAACCAAUAGGCUUGUAGCCUUGAAGGAAUAAAGAGGGAAGAAGAAGGAAGUCUUGAUUCUGUUUCUUCAGAGAAGCUCCAGUCUUCUCUAUUGCCUUUGGACAUCUGACUCCUGGUUUCUAGUGCUAACUCUUUAGACUUCCAAGCCAGACCCUUUGGCCUCAGGAUUACGGACUGGCAUGAGACUCUGCAGUGAGCCCCAGGCCUUUGACUUUGGACCGGGACCUCUGGCUUUCCAGGGUGCAGACAGCCUUUGUGUACUCUGUCAUACCUGACUCUUCAGGAAGACAUUGUAAGCCUACGUUGUAAAUCCUCUAUGUUUUGAGUUCAUACUUAAAAACUCAACUUAUAAGAAAACUUUUGUAAUACCAAAGUCAUUAAAUUUUUUUUCCUCAAAUUUACUUUUUUGCCUUUAAGUCUGUGGAUAUUUUGUACGGUAUAACAUAGGAACAAAAAUUGUAUUAUUAUUAUUACCAGUAUAAUCUGUGGUGCUGAAGAUUGAACCUAGUGUCUUUAUAUAGAGCUACAUCCACAGACUUUUUCUUAUUUUUCCUUUUGGCACGUGGUCUCACUAAAUCAGUGAGUUAUUCAGACUGGGCUCAAGGUUGUGAUCCUCCUGGCUGAGGUUCCCACAGUGCUCAGCUUAGUUUUUUUUUCUUCUCCUUAACAGUUGUCCAUUUGACCAAACAACAUUCAUUGAAAACUUGAGAGUAGUACAGAAUAAUAAAAAUUGCAUGUAUGCAUUGCCUACCAUAUCAGGAGAUAUAUGUACAUAUUCUUUUUUCAUUAUUUCAUAAAACGUUAGUACUUAUUUUGAAUUUAAUAUACUGCUUAAAAUUAAUGAUUGCUAAUCAAAAGAUCUUUCAGAUUUGGUAACAGAUAUUUAUCUAAGUUCUUGCCCUAUAGAUUUUGCCUUAGUUAUAAAGGUCACAUUUUGCUGAACAAAUAUUGUGUGAGAAGUAAAGUCAGGUAUGGUGUCACAUAAUCCCAGCUACUUUGAACGUUAAGAGGUUAAUGCAGGAGGAUAACAAGUGUGAGACCAGCUUGGGCAACUCAGUGAGAUAUUGUAUAUAAAAAAAAAAGGUCUGGGGAUGUAGUUCAGCACAAGGUCCUGGGUUCAGUCUCCAGUGCUAAAGAAAUAUAUAAGUAAAUAAGAGAUCUAAUAAAUGUUUAGAGGAAAUACCCUCAGUGGUAAUAUUAAUAUAAUUUUAAUUUUAAAAAUAAAGGUGUAACAGAGAACUAAAUCCUGUGACCUCUGAAAUAAGAUUGGCCUCAAUGAAAUUCUCAUAUGGAUUAAAUGCAAAUUUGUUGCAAAAUACAAGUCACUCCAGGCCAGGAAGCUUAAACCACCACAGGAUUCAAUGAUUUUGGAAAACAAAAGAUGAAGUGCUCAAAUGGGAAGGUGUCUUAGAGGAGAAUGCCACACUGACCAUUCCCACAUAUUCCAGAGGAUGAGUUGGCUUGGCUUAGUGUAUUCACCAUCAAGUUCUGAGGAAGGUGGAGGCAGAAGACACAGUCGCUGAUGAUUCAGUAUUUUUAAAGUUACAGGCAGCAUUAACUCUGAGGAUCUUGAGGUAUUUAUUUAUAACUGAAAUAGAGUAUAAUGUAAAAUAGAGCAUCAGAGAUAGUCACACUCCAUAGAGCCAAAUUUUGUUUAAAAUUUGUUUCCAGCUCUCGAGAGUAUAAAGAUGUGUACUGGGAUGUAAUAUAAAAUGUAUUUCUUACAUACAUUUAAUUCCAAAGUGCUUUUAAAGCCAGGUUACUUUUACUCAUAUUACCUAUGACAUAUCUUCUGCAAAUUGUGUCUUGUUGGUAAUUUACAUAUCAUACACACCUCCCUGCUAGGAGAAAAAGUACUGGACUUGAGCUUCAUAUCUUCUUGCAUUUAUGUGUGUUUCUUAUGUUCUCCUGUGUAUCCUAUACUGCAGUUCCCCACUGCUCCAUAGUGCCAGUCCUGGAAUAAAUAAACAUUGUUCAAAGAGAACAGGUGGGGUUGGAGUUUCCAUGAUGAAAGAUGACAAUGAGGUGAAUGGAUGAAAGGAAACUCAGGUUCCUGAGAGUUGAGUAGUAAACUAGGGCCAGUGCAGGUGUCUAGCCAGUGUGGUUGCCAUACUGUCAGUAGAGCUUUCUGUUGUCUCCAUUCCAGGUCUCUUCCUUCCCUUACUAUCACAGCACCUUUCCCAGUACCUCUCCCCUUGAAAACAGAACCCUCUCUUCCUGCUUCCUUGAUCUCUGACAUGUGGCUUGCAUGAAGUUCUGGGGCUCAAGAAUGAUAGACUGCAUCAGAAACCCUCCCAGAGGCUAUUCACUAUCUGGCCACUGGCUCUUCUACUUCACUCUUAGGCUCUUCACCUGCUACAUCUCCACAUCAGCCCUUCCUCCCCUUCUUUAUGUGGCCCUUGGAGUGAUGGUUGGAUGGAGUGCCAGUCAUCACCAGAGAGCAGACAGUGAACAGAUUGGUGACAGGACAGGAAGAGAUAGUGAUGAAGUAGAGAUUAGGAUUGCUUUACAACUCUGGAGGUGGCUCUGUUAAGGACAAAUAUCUGUGUUUAUCACAUAGGCUUUGGCUGCUAAUCUGUGUACACAAAUUCUGUAAGUCACCCAGCAGGAAUCCAGUUACAUCAAUAAUAACAUUAAAUGUGAAGUUAUUAAAUUAUUCUAGCAACAGGUAAAGAUUGUGAGAUUGACAAGCAAGAUUCUAUUCUUUAUCUAAAGGUGUCACCUUUUAGAUUUAAAUACACAGACGUUUUAAAUGUAAAAGGACAAAAAUAGAAUUGUCUUGCAAAGAGAAAUCACAGGAAAGCUAUAAACAGCCAUAAUAAUGGUGGACAAGACAGAUUUGUAAGAAAUAGUUAUUAAUGAUAAUAAGGGGCAUCUUAUAAUGCAAAAUUAUAAACAGUAAGCAAGAAAGCACCAGUGUCAUUACCCACCCAUCAAAAUGUAACUAAAACAUGAAACAAAAACUGAAAGAGGUAGAAGUAGAAAUAAAACUUGCAAGCAUAAUAGUUAAGUGAGGUGUUGUGCUCCAUUCCUAUAAUCACGACUCUUAAGAGGCAGAGAUAGGAAGAUUAUGGACUCAAGGCUCACCAAGACCACAUAGUAAGACCCUGUUUCAAGAAGACAAAAAAAGACUGAAAAAGAGUACUGGUUACAGACUUUUAAAACCUACUUUUCAAUAAUGGAUAGGACAGCUAGGCGUUAGAAAAGCAUGGAGUGGGAUACAGAAACAACUUUGCAGUCCUGCUAGAGUAUACACAGCCUUCACCCAACAACAGCAGAAUAAACAUUCUCAAACAAGGCUUUGUAGCAAGGCUUAAACAGUAAAUGCAAAAGGAUAAAUAUUAUUCCCUGCAUUUUCUCCUGUCACAAAGGAAUAAAUCUGGGAAUUAAAAAUACAAAGAGACUUGGGAAAUUCAAAUAGAUGGAAUUAAAUAAUAGCUUCCAGUACUUCAAAAUAGCCAUAGAAGAAAUCAAUAGGGACAUUAAAAAUAUACAUUUUGAAAAAAAUAUAUGCCAAACUUUUGAAAGGCUUCUACAGCAGUGGUUGGAAGGAAAUUUAUAUUUGUAAGUUUCUGUAUUAAUAAAAAAGCAUGAUCCUAAUUCAGUAUCAUUAAGUUCCAUGUUAAAACACAGGAAAGAAUACCAAAGAGAAUCUAAAAUAAUCAGAAGGAUGGAAAUAACAGUUACAGCAGAAAUCAAAGAGUAAAAUUGGAGAUAAUAGAAGUGAACAAAAUAGUUUAUAAUAGAUGAAAAGUUAAAAAAACUUUCAGUUAGAUCAGGAAAGAAAUAGACUCAAAUAACUAAAACCAAAGAUUAAUGAAGAAGUAUUGCUACCAACCUUACAGAAACAAGAAUGUGUAAAGUAUAAUAAU